GACAUUCUCUCAACCUGCUUUAAGAUAACAAAACUCUCAUUCCAAUUAUAAUUAAGCCAGAGACUAUUAGGCUGUGCCUCUCUCUAUUCUGGAGAACCACCAUCUGAUAAAAUGCACAAUGCAAGUGCCUUCCAGUGAUAGCUUUCCAAGCCUUGAACAAACACAAGCAAGCAAGCAAACUAAAUAAAAUUCACCUGCCGCUGCGUCUUGUAUGUUUCAUGAAGCAGAAAAAGAGGAGCAAGAGAAAAAAAAACAACUGCUGUGACUGGCUGCUUCCCAAAGGCCUUGCCUACAUUAAAGAGAAAACACAAAGGUCAGCUGUGGGCCAGGGGGGACGCCGAAGAAGAUGCUGUGCCUAGUGGCGCAUAAGGUGUAAAUCCAGCCCUGCCUGCCACUGAACUGAUAUGGAAAACAGGUGAUAAAAUGCAGCACUGUGCUAUGUUGUUUCAGCUGAAGAGGUCAUAAAGGAGAGAAGCACUGCAGAAUAUACUUUCCAUUUCCUCUCUUCCUGUUUUUCCUCAAAGUUUCUCUUUAUGUGCAAUCCUGAAAAUGCAAGGUGAAAACUGCAAAUUAAUCAUGACUAGUGGCAAAAACAAUUUAAUUUGGAAAUUCCAAAUGCCAGAAAACUAGCAUCCAAUUGGUUUGAAUUUUGUAGUCGGGCCAUGCAUAGGAGCACUUCUAGUACCUCGUGUACUUUCUUUUAAAGCAUAAAUAAACAGAGUUAUUGAGCACUCCCUGCUCAUUUUCAACAUCCAAGAUGGCAACACUUCCCUUUCAACUCUCUUCCCUGCUCCUCUCUCUCCUUCCCAGAAGGAAAAAGAAAUACUGAAGAAAGUUUGGGUCAUAUCAGAACAGAACCCAUUCCUCUGAGAUAUCACUACUCUGCUCCAUCCAGCCAGUGCUGACCAGAAGACAAGAAGUCCACCUUGCUGUUCAAUACAUGUUUCCCCUUUAGCAGUUUACUAAGGGCCUAAACCAGAGGUGGGCAAACUUUUUGGCCUGAGAGCCGCAUCGGGUUUUGGAAAUUGUAUGGAGGGCCGGUUAGGGGAGGCGGUCGUGG